UUGAAAGGGAAACGAUUGAAGUCAGUCGUACCGACGGAAAAUCAGCUCUUCGAGUGCAGACUCGUGGGCGCACGUGAGCUUUAACCGGCCUCGUCGUUUGCUACGUUUGUGCUUUUUGGGUGUACUUUUUCGUAUGGUAGGCCAACGUCAGUUUCGAUCACCAUAAAAUGAUCGGAGGAAUGUAGCUUCGAUCUUGUAUUGAAGUGUUAUAGCCUUUGGUAGAUGUGGUGACUGAGACUGAGGAUUGCAACGAAUACCCUUUGGGCUAUCCGUCUGACCUCUGAAAGUUGCUUAGGUGCCGAAAGCUUGCUUACGGUCAUCUAUGACGACGGUCAAAAGGUUAGAACGUGAUUAUAUUCGUUAAGGAUGUUGACGUA
rnacentral:rRNA from 1 species